rnacentral:lncRNA from 1 species
UUCUGAUAUCUUAAUAAUGCGAUUUUUUAGUUCAAAAUUAAAGUGAUGCCUUCCGUAGUAGAGAUUCGUAAUUUUCAAUCAUGCUAAAGCAAAAAAAUAUGUUUGACAGUCAUUUCUUUAAUAUUGUCUAAUAGGAUCUCCCGCAAUGAAAACGUUAGACAAAUUUACGUUAUCAACCGCACAAAGUGCAUUUUUUUUACUGUUUGUAAACAUCAAUACCGGCCUUCAACCGCUGACUGGAAAGUAACGCGCGCAUGAAUAGGCGUUAACGAUAUUAGCCAAUGAAAUGAAAGGAAACUUUGUCGCCCUCUUUAUACGCAAUACAACAGGUGAAACGCUUCCUUUUGACACAUACUGCAGUUAACCUCACAGCAAGCCUUCAAAUACCCGUAACACCUCACGUAUCGGCCCUGGCGGGCUUGUACCGUGACAAGCACUUACUAAUUGUACUAACUGCAUGCAAGGGAAAUGAUGAUCGCAAACUUUGCUUUGUUUAACCAUUCAACCAAACAACCAGCACCAUCAGCCUUUCUGUACCUGGCUUAGGAUCUAGUCCUACAAGACUUCCUUCGCAAGCUUGGGACCUGGAGAAGACACCGCCUGAGUAGUAUGACAAACUCAGAGAAUACUGUGUGACAUCAGGAACCUUCCAGCUGUAUUUCAUCAAAGUGGACUCCACAAGCAUUCUCGUCCAUCUGCCAACCAGCUUGAGAUCUUCAGACGCAUCAAAAUGUUUCUUACUUGGCCUAACUACAGUCUUAAGCACUGAUUCAGUGGCUUGAUUGGACAAAAAUCAAGAAGCUUUGUUAGUAAUCAUCUACCAAGUCAAUGGAGACUUCAUAGAGACGAGUUCUGAAAAUCUACCUCAGUUUAUCAACACUAUUGGAAAAAUUGGAUCCAGCUACGACGUAUAAGAUCACCGUGAAUUUGAAAUACUUUGUUAUGAAAAACCAUACAUACAUUUCUCAUAUAUUGUAAAUGAAAAUUGUGUUAGAACUGUUUUUCUUCGCUGUUGGCCUGUAUUAGGAUAUAUUUUCCUUGCAAUUAACCCCGUACAGUAACCAGCUUGCACCUGAAGAUAACCAGUGAGCACAUAUUAUUUCUGACGUCACCGACUAAUAUCUAACAUACUUACCAAUGUGAUUUGAAAAUAACCCAUCACCUGAUGUGCUAACUGAAUAAUAUCAAACACGCUAAGUCGUUAUAAUUUGCCUUCAUAUAAGUUGUCCAUUCAGUAGUAUAGCCAAAAAAACCUUUAUUGCAGCUUUUCCAAGAAAAUAGCCCUUAAAAAUAACGUUGUCACAACCAACACAAAAAGAAAGUCCCAAGUCUAGUCGUAACAAUUUUUUUUCAGAAAACUAGUUUGUUCACUGAGAAUGAAAAUUAUCUAAUUUGUGUUCACUUGAGUAACGAAGAUAUUUGUCCUUGCAAACUUAGCUUACCGUAAUCAUUUAUCUAUUAUCAAGUAAUAUAUUUAUUUACUAACAAACAAUCUACAUUCACUUAUUCUUAUUAAUAUACUCGGACAGGUUAUACAAUAUCUAACCAGCUAACUUACUCUGAUACGCAACACUAACCCACUAACUUGCUUAUUUCAGUCUUCACUUUCAGCUAACCAACUGACAGCUGACAUCAUGCACUUGAUCGAGAUAGCACCCACUGAUUAAAGUGCCUGUCACCCUUGACAAAUCUCUACAUAACCGGACCCAGACAACAAAGAAACUAACAACUAACAUCCGCUCACUCAGUAACUAACAAAUCUCUCGCCAGCAACUAAAAUGAUCAUUUUUAAAAUCACUUCCGUCCUAACUAACCAACUAACUUACUCACCAAAUUCCUAAUUAACAAAUUUACAUAACGUUAAGUUUUUCAGUAACUGAAAAUAACUAACCAAGUAACAAACUAACCAGCUAACUAACUAACAUCUUACUUGUUAAGUAACUAAUCAACACAGAAAUUAAUUAGCAAAAUAAGCAACUUACUUUGUUACUUACAAGUUAACCAACUUUCUAACACAGUCGUCGGAAACUUUGAGGUCUAGUUUGCAUUAACUGACUGAUCAACCAACUAACUAAUCAAUUAACAUCUUACUCAUUUACUAACUAAUCAGCUCGCAAAUUAAUGAGCAAACGAGCUUAACCAUUUAACUUACUGAAAGUGAUAUUAUCAAAAAUAGAUAAUUCACCAGUUCUGAAGAGCUAUUACUGUAACGAACACUCUCAGUGGCUCACGAAAACUAAUAACACUACUCUCUAAUUAACAAAACACUUAGUAUUGAAGACCAAGAGAAUUGGUUCUUGCAAAACUGUUUUGCUCCAGUAAAACGCCGAACUAACUAACUAGUAAAGCAACCAAAAAAACGAACUAAUAAACUAACUCAGUCAGGAUUAACUAACUUCUUGACUAACUAAUGGACUAACUUACCAGCUUUACUAACAGGCCAGCUAACUGACUAAUGCGCUACUGACGUACUAACGUACUAACUGACCUACCAACGAAGCAAGCAAUGAAAUAAACUAAUUACGACUAACACACUUACUAACGAAAUUAACAAACUAACAAACAUUGUGAAGCCCGGCAUGUCUUACUGAAACAACUAACUGAACAUACUAACCUGUUGAUCUUGUUCUUAAGCCACAAGAAAAGUCCACAAGAAUAACUAACCAACCUACUAACCAACAACCUAACUUACUAAUUAUAUAGCGAGCUAACUAACCAAUCGGUUGCUAACAAAAAAGUCGAGUUCAUUUUGAUAACUACCAUGUUCCUAUUUCACCUUUAAUCCAUUUGCUUUCAUUGCUGUUAAUUUGUCUCAUCUAUAUGUCUAACCGACUGAUCCUUUAACCAAACCAUCGUACUAACCCAGUUUAAUUUCACACUUUGUAGCUCUCAGUAAUACUGUUUAGUACUUCGGAAAUGCCAAGCAACACUGUUAAAUUGUUAUUCUGCGAAUUCAAGUUAUCAUGUUUUUUUAACUGUAUUUUCAGCACUUUCCUCCCUAUUUUGAGAGUUUAAAUAACCAACAAUUAAUGUUAUUCUUUGAAGAUCUGUGUCAUGGAAGACAGCUAAAUAAAGGGAACAUUAAUAAUUGGUUCAA